AGCGAACGCUGGCGGCAGGCCUAACACAUGCAAGUCGAACGAACUCUUCGGAGUUAGUGGCGGACGGGUGAGUAACACGUGGGAACGUGCCUUUUGGUUCGGAAUAACUCAGGGAAACUUGUGCUAAUACCGAAUGUGCCCUUCGGGGGAAAGAUUUAUCGCCGUUAGAGCGGCCCGCGUCUGAUUAGCUAGUUGGUGAGGUAACGGCUCACCAAGGCGACGAUCAGUAGCUGGUCUGAGAGGAUGACCAGCCACACUGGGACUGAGACACGGCCCAGACUCCUACGGGAGGCAGCAGUGGGGAAUCUUGCGCAAUGGGCGAAAGCCUGACGCAGCCAUGCCGCGUGAAUGAUGAAGGUCUUAGGAUUGUAAAAUUCUUUCACCGGGGACGAUAAUGACGGUACCCGGAGAAGAAGCCCCGGCUAACUUCGUG
rnacentral:rRNA from 1 species